GCAGAGCAAAUUAGAGAUUCUUGGAGCUUGAUAGUUUUCAGGUACGAGGGUACAUGGACGUACCCGAGAGGCAUAACCGCACCCGGAUGGUGCGUUUAUGCCGGUACCGUAACUACUUUUUAAUGUAUUAUAUCAAGCUCUUAGAAUCUCUUAU
rnacentral:ncRNA from 1 species